rnacentral:rRNA from 1 species
UACGGAGGGUGCAAGCGUUAUCCGGAUUUACUGGGUUUAAAGGGUGCGUAGGUGGGUUGGUAAGUCAGUGGUGAAAUCUUCGAGCUUAACUCGGAAACUGCCAUUGAUACUAUUAAUCUUGAAUUAUCUGGAGGUAAGCGGAAUAUGUCAUGUAGCGGUGAAAUGCUUAGAUAUGACAUAGAACACCCAUUGCGAAGGCAGCUUACUACGGAUACAUUGACACUGAGGCACGAAAGCGUGGGGAGCGAACAGG